GAUGCUCCAGAUAUGGCUGAUACAAUAGAGCAAGUGGAUUAUGUACUUCAUUAGUAAGCAAGGUUGGACAUACCCAUGGAUUUCAUUCAGUUUUUCCUAAGAAGAAGGCAAUACAUGCCUGUUGCAAGUUUGAGUCAUCCUUGAUAAAAAGGUUCAAGGGUGUAGAAGAGUUGAGGAAAACAACAUUUGGACCUCUUAAAAAUGUCUGCCCAGAUUGAGGAGGACAUUGAUGCAGAAGAGUUGCAGGCGGGUGGAAGCAUUUCACCAAGAGCUUAUAUUGGAACAACAUGGUGAUCGAUCAACAUAUAUAAAAUGCU
rnacentral:lncRNA from 1 species